CAAAGCCAAGAUGGCCAAUGCUAACUCCCAGGAAGCAAGGUGAGAGAACUAAGUUGUGUGACUCCAAAAGAGCAGAAACCAGGAACUGGAGAAUGGAGGACCAAAGAUCAGAGAACAAACGAUGCUGGUCUGUUAUCACUAACAAUAAUUACCACUAACCUCUCUGGUAAGGAGACAACACCGAAACAAAACUGGACUGAGAAUAAGCUCAUAGCAAAGGAGGAAAAUCAAAAGUUUUUACCUCAUCAGCAGCAUCAAUGACGUGAAAUUGCCAGGCAUUUCACCUCUAUUACUUCAGUUAACUCUCACAAACAUUUGAUAAAGCAGAUCUUAUCCUCAUUCUGUGAAUUAGGAAACCGACCUGGAGACGGAGAAUAACUUGACUAGACCACAGGGAUCAAAUGCAUUUAAGCCUCAGUCUUCUGCCUCCAAACCCCAGCUAAAUGUUGCUGUAUUCAACAUAUAGUUAAAUAAUGCCUUACACAUGUACCUUUUGAAAAC
rnacentral:lncRNA from 1 species